AAAUUGAAGAGUUUGAUCAUGGCUCAGAUUGAACGCUGGCGGCAGGCCUAACACAUGCAAGUCGAACGGUAACAGGAAGCAGCUUGCUGCUUUGCUGACGAGUGGCGGACGGGUGAGUAAUGUCUGGGAAACUGCCUGAUGGAGGGGGAUAACUACUGGAAACGGUGGCUAAUACCGCAUAACGUCGCAAGACCAAAGAGGGGGACCUUCGGGCCUCUUGCCAUCAGAUGUGCCCAGAUGGGAUUAGCUAGUUGGUGAGGUAACGGCUCACCAAGGCGACGAUCCCUAGCUGGUCUGAGAGGAUGGCCAGCCACACUGGAACUGAGACACGGUCCAGACUCCUACGGGAGGCAGCAGUGGGGAAUAUUGCACAAUGGGCGCAAGCCUGAUGCAGCCAUGCCGCGUGUAUGAAGAAGGCCUUCGGGUUGUAAAGUACUUUCAGCGGGGAGGAAGGUGUUGUGGUUAAUAACCGCAGCAAUUGACGUUACCCGCAGAAGAAGCACCGGCUAACUCCGUGCCAGCAGCCGC
rnacentral:rRNA from 1 species